UACGUAGGGAGCAAGCGUUGUUCGGAAUUACUGGGCGUAAAGGGCUCGUAGGUGGCCAACUAAGUCAGACGUGAAAUCCCUCAGCUUAACUGGGGAACUGCGUCUGAUACUGGAUGGCUUGAGAUUGGGAGAGGGAUGCGGAAUUCCAGGUGUAGCGGUGAAAUGCGUAGAUAUCUGGAGGAACACCGGUGGCGAAGGCGGCAUCCUGGACCAACACUGACACUGAGGAGCGAAAGCCAGGGGAGCAAACGGG
rnacentral:rRNA from 1 species